ACUCAAAUGAAUUGACGGGGACUCGCACAAGCGGUGGAGCAUGUGGUUUAAUUCGACGCAACGCGAAAAACCUUACCAGGCCUUGACAUCCCUUUGACCGGUGUAGAAAUACGCCUUUUCCCUUCGGGGGACAGAGGAGACAGGUGGUGCAUGGUUGUCGUCAGCUCGUGUCGUGAGAUGUUGGGUUAAGUCCCGCAACGAGCGCAACCCUUAUCAUUAGUUGCUAACAUUAAGUUGAGAACUCUAAUGAGACUGCCAGCGACAAGUUGGAGGAAGGUGGGGAUGACGUCAAAUCAUCAUGCCCCUUAUGGCCUGGGCUACACACGUGCUACAAUGGCCGGUACAAAGAGUGGCGAAACCGCGAGGUGGAGCAAAUCUCAAAAAACCGGUCUCAGUUCAGAUUGUAGUCUGCAACUCGACUACAUGAAGUCGGAAUCGCUAGUAAUCGUAAAUCAGCAUGUUACGGUGAAUACGUUCUCGAGUCUUGUACACACCGCCCGU
rnacentral:rRNA from 1 species